AGUGAACGCUGGCGGUAGGCCUAACACAUGCAAGUCGAACGGCAGCACAGUAAGAGCUUGCUCUUACGGGUGGCGAGUGGCGGACGGGUGAGGAAUACAUCGGAAUCUACUUUUUCGUGGGGGAUAACGUAGGGAAACUUACGCUAAUACCGCAUACGCCCUACGGGUGAAAGCAGGGGAUCUUCGGACCUUGCGCAAUUGAAUGAGCCGAUGUCGGAUUAGCUAGUUGGCGGGGUAAAGGCCCACCAAGGCGACGAUCCGUAGCUGGUCUGAGAGGAUGAUAAGCCACACUGGAACUGAGACACGGUCCAGACUCCUACGGGAGGCAGCAGUGGGGAAUAUUGGACAAUGGGCGCAAGCCUGAUCCAGCCAUACCGCGUGGGUGAAGAAGGCCUUCGGGUUGUAAAGCCCUUUUGUUGGGAAAGAAAAGCAGCAGGUUAAUACCCCGCUGUUCUGACGGUACCCAAAGAAUAAGCACCGGCUAACUUCGUG
rnacentral:rRNA from 1 species